GACGAACGCUGGCGGCGUGCCUAAUACAUGCAAGUCGAGCGCAGGAAAUCGACGGAACCCUUCGGGGGGAAGUCGACGGAAUGAGCGGCGGACGGGUGAGUAACACGUAAGGAACCUGCCCUCAGGUCUGGGAUAACCACGAGAAAUCGGGGCUAAUACCGGAUGGGUCAUCGGACCGCAUGGUCCGAGGAUGAAAGGCGCUCCCGCGCCGCCUGGGGAUGGCUUUGCGGUGCAUUCGCUAGUUGGUGGGGUAAUGGCCCACCAAGGCGACGAUGCAUAGCCGACCUGAGAGGGUGAUCGGCCACACUGGGACUGAGACACGGCCCAGACUCCUACGGGAGGCAGCAGUAGGGAAUCUUCCACAAUGGACGAAAGUCUGAUGGAGCAACGCCGCGUGAACGAUGAAGGCCUUCGGGUCGUAAAGUUCUGUUGUAAGGGAAGAACAAGUGCCGCAGGCAAUGGCGGCACCUUGACGGUACCUUGCGAGAAAGCCACGGCUAACUACGUGCCAGCCGCCGCAGUAAAAC
rnacentral:rRNA from 1 species